rnacentral:lncRNA from 1 species
UAUGUUUGACAUUUUCUUCCUUAACAUCAGUGCACACAUGCUUGAAUUUAUUGGCAAAAGGAUGAUUUUAGAAAAGAAUGAGAGUGAUUUGGAAUGGUUUGGAAGACUGGGACCANCACAUGGGUACUUCAAUCCUCAAAGGAGACGUAAUAUGUGAGUGUCAAGACGAAACACAGUAUAUCAAAAACUUUGCCCUGGUUUUGUGUUUAGGAAAAUGAGCUGGGGUUGGAUCCAUGAAAAUUAGGGUGACACAAAAUCAAGUGAGACUUGCAAAGUUGCUCCAGUCAUGGGAUUAUGGAUUGAUGAAAUUUUGUGUGAGACUUACAAAGCUGCCCCAGUUUUUUAUCGUGGUAUGGGUUGAUGAAAAAUUCGCGAGAGGUUCACAAAGUUGCCCCAGUUUUUCUUCGGCAAGGAGUUCAGUUUGGAAGAGGUAGUGGACAUGUACAGGAUCGGCUAAAAGGGUGUCCCCCAAUUGGUUUGAUUUUUCUUUUUGCAUGCUUCUGGCUAAUUGGCAGGAAGAUCCCCUCUUCUUGAGACAUUUUUUUUCUUUUUCUUUCUUUUUUAUUCAUUUUCUUUUUUUUUCUUUUUUUUUUUUUUACGACACAUUGAAAAUCAUUUCCCCUUAUCACAAAAUUAAGCUUCAUGAAAAUAUUAGCAAACAUUAUCCAAUCUGUGUGGACUUUAUUAAGCUUGUAACGUGGCUAGGGGCUAAAAGGUAUUAGAAGAAAGGAUAUAAAGGCCCAAAUGAAUGUUUGUUGGUUAUUAUUUUUUUGAAACAAAGGUUAUCAUCUAAGUAUUGCAUCAACUAUUUGACUUUUUGAGCACUUUGCUUUUUCCUUGAACUUUGGUUUUCAUCCUUUUUGCUCAACAUCACUUUGUGAUUUUUGCUGUUCUUUUUGUUUUUUUCUUUUUUUUUUGUUUUUAUUCACUCUUCUUGAUGAAUUCUCUUUGUUUGACCACUGAGUGCUCUUCAUUUGCAAC